rnacentral:rRNA from 1 species
CAAAACUUUCAACAACGGAUCUCUUGGUUCUGGCAUCGAUGAAGAACGCAGCGAAAUGCGAUACGUAAUGUGAAUUGCAGAACUCAGCGAACCAUCGAAUCUUUGAACGCACCUUGCGCCCGUCGGUAUUCCGGCGGGCAUGCCUGUCCGAGCGUCAUUU